UGGGGCUGCUGGCAGGCAGGGAAGCCUGCUUGAGACUGCUGCUGGCUGGGAGCUUCUUAGCUGCCAUAAUGGGCCCAGUUCUGUCUGCAGAUAAAAGACACAAGUUGCGGCACCCAUUGACUUCCAAAUUCCAGUCUCAGUUACACCAGUAUUAUUUCCAGUUAAGUCAAUGGAGAUAAUCCAGAUUUACAGAUUGAACCCCUAUGAACUUCAUUCUUGAUCACACUCUGAUGAGAAUCAGAGCUGGCAUUGGAGUGUAAACAGAUAUGGUACUAGCCGCCUGGUGGCCCUGUGCAGUGUAAUCUUGGAAGCAUCAACUCACCCUGUUAGAAACUCUGCUCAGGACAGAUCCUUCCUGCGAGUAAAUAAUGUUUGUGGGAA